ACAUACUUCCUUACAACGCCAUAUUUCCCAUAUUAUUGGUAUGGAAUGUAAAGAAGUAUGUAG
rnacentral:pre_miRNA from 1 species